GGCCUAGUAGCUCAGUGGCCCAGAGCUCCUGACUCAUAAUCGGAAAGACCUCGGUUCGAAUCCGAGCUAGGCUA
rnacentral:tRNA from 1 species